GCCGAUAUAGCUCAGUUGGUAGAGCAGCGUAUCUGUAAUGCGAAGGUCGGUGGUCUGACUAUCGGCACCA
rnacentral:tRNA from 1 species